ACGGGAGGCAGCAGUGGGGAAUAUUGGACAAUGGGGGGAAACCCUGAUCCAGCGACGCCGCGUGAGUGAAGAAGUAUUUCGGUAUGUAAAGCUCUAUCAGCAAGGAAGAAAAUGACGGUACUUGACUAAGAAGCUCCGGCUAAAUACGUGCCAGCAGCCGCGGUAAUACGUAUGGAGCAAGCGUUAUCCGGAUUUACUGGGUGUAAAGGGAGCGUAGACGGUGUGGCAAGUCUGAAGUGAAAGCCCGGGGCUCAACCCCGGGACUGCUUUGGAAACUGUCGCACUAGAGUGCAGGAGAGGUAAGUGGAAUUCCUAGUGUAGCGGUGAAAUGCGUAGAUAUUAGGAGGAACAUCAGUGGCGAAGGCGGCUUACUGGGCUUUAACUGACGCUGAGGCUCGAAAGCGUGGGGAGCAAACAGGAUUAGAUACCCUGGUA
rnacentral:rRNA from 1 species